CUGUUUAGAAGAUCCCAACAAAACUCCACCAGAGGACUUCUAGAGCUGGUAAACAAAUACAGCAAGUAGCAGGAUGCAAGAUCAACAUACAUAAAUCAAUAGCUUUCCUAUACUCCAAUAAUGAAUCUGAGAAAGAAAUCAUAAAAAAACUGUCUUAUUCACUAAAACCUCAAAAAAUGAAACUUGAUAAUAAAUCCAACCAAGAAGUGAAUGACCUCUACCUGAAACCUAUAGAACACUGGAGAAGAAAACUGAAGAAGACCUUAGAAGAUGGAAAGACCUCUCAUUCUUGGAUAGGUAGAAUUAUGUUGUCAAAAUGGCUAUAUUACUGAAAGUGUCAUACAGAUUCAAUGCAAUCCCCAUUAAAAUACCAAUGACAUUCUUCACAGAACUAGGAAAAAAGUUUUAAAAUUAAUUUAGAAGAGGAAAAGACACAGAAUAGUCAAAGUAGUCUUCAAUAAGAAGAAUAGUAUGUGAAACAUCACAAUAUUGGACUUCAAAUUGUGCUACAGAACUAUAGUAACCAAAUAAGCAUGGCAUUGACACCAAAACAGGCAUGAAGACCAAUGGAACAGAAUAGAAGUCACAGAGACAAACUUGCAUGUUUAUAGUCACCCGAUCCUUGACAAAGUUGCCAAAAACAUACAUUGGAAAAUAGAUAGCUUUUUAAACAAAUGGUGCUGGGAAAACUGGAUAUGCAUAAGAAUAAAACUAGAUCCUUGUCUCUCACCCUGCAUAAAAGUCAACUCAGAGUGGAUCAAAGACCUAUGAAUUAAACCAUAAACUUUGCAACUGCUAGAAGAAAACAUAGGGUCAACACUCCCAACAUAUUGGUGUAGGCACUGACUUUCCUAGCAAGACUCCUAAAGUGCAAGAAAUAAAGCCAAGAAUCAAUAAGUGAGGUAGUAUCAAAUUGAAAAGCUUCUGCACAGCAAAGGUACCAAGAAUGUGAAGAGCGAGCCUACAGAAUGGGAGAUCUUUGCCAGAUGCUCCUCCAACAGGAAAUUAAUAUCCAGAAUAUAUAAAUAAUUCAAAAAACUUAACACCAAAAACCAAAUAACCCAAUUAAUAAAUGGACAAAAGAACAAAAUAAACACUUUUCAAAAGAAUAAUUGAAAAUGGCCAAAAAAUAUAUGAAAAAUGUUCAACACCUCUAGCAAAUCAAAACUAUAUUGAAAAUUCAUCUCACUCUAGCUAGAAUGGCAAUUAUCAAAAAUAAAAAUAAUAAUAAAUGCUGAUAAGGAUGUGGGGAAAAAGAUACACCCAUAAGUUGUUGGUGGGACUGCAAAUUAACACAGUCACUCUGGAAAACAGUAUAGAUUCCUCAAAAAACUAGGAAUGGAAGCACCCUAUGACCCAUCUACCCUACUCCUUAGUAUUAAUCCAAAAGAACUAAAAUUAGGAUACUCUAGUAAUAUAGCCAAGUCAAUGUUUAUAGCAGCACAACUCAUAGGUUGUGCUGGCUAUUGAAGCAGUCCCAGUGCCUGUCAACAGAGGAAUGGAUUAAGAAAAUGUGAUUUAUGCGUAUACAAUGGCAUAUUAUUCAUCCACAAAGAAGAAUGAAAUUAUGGCAUUCACUGUUACAUGGAUGGAAAUUGAGAACAUUCUGCUAAGUGAAAUAAGCCAGAGCCAGAAAGUCAAGGUUUGAAAGUUUUCUCUCAUAUGUGGAAAAAAAUAAAAAUAAAAAAGAUGGGUGGGAAUCUCAUGAAAAUAGGAGAUCAGUGGAAUACAGGA
rnacentral:lncRNA from 1 species